UCACAGAGUAACACUAGCUCUUUUUUGGU
rnacentral:piRNA from 1 species